UUUCUCUAAUUAAACAAACUUUAUUUUCUUAAUUGUUUUAAAUUUAUUAACUUUUACUUUUAUUUAAUUAACUGUUUUCUAAUUAGAAUUUGUUGAUUGUUUCCUUUUCUUUUGUUUUUCUUUAUCUUCCAUUGAUUAAUUUGUUAUUCUUUUUUUCUUUGUUUUCCCUGUUGUAUUGGUUUUUCUUUCUUUCAUUUUCUAAAUUGUUUUUCUUUUCUCUUGUGAAUUUGCUGAUUUUAAAUCUCUAAUCAAAUACUAAUUGUAUCACUUUAUUGGCUUUGUGAUUAUUUUUAUUUGUCAAUUCCAGUGUAAUGGUCAAUAGAAGAAAAGUGAACAACAAAAAGACAAAUAGACUAUUUAGUCAAUCAAAUUAAGAUGGCGAAUUGUCUAUGGAAUCCAAGGAAAAUUGUUCUCCAUUGGGAAUUUAAUUAUGUUUAAUUGGUUUCCAUUUCAAAUUGGGAUUAAUAUCAUUGAGGCCUAACAAAAAUUCAGUGAAAAACAAAACCAAAGCUCUUCUAUAUUCAAGGAUAUAUUACAUGUGAUUUCAUUGGUAUAAUGUAUUUGAAUUUUACAAUUUCGGUGAAAAGUUAAAUGAGAGAUUGCAAAUUGUGUCAUUUAACAGGAUAACAAUUCUAACAUUCAUCCAUUUUAAUCAAUGGUGAUGUGACAUUGUGUUGAUAAUUAACGGUAAAUAGGUAAGGUAGACAAUCAGAAAAAAGCUAAAUGGUAACAAGAGGUAAGUGAUAUGUUGAUGAAUGUUUAAUGAUGAAAAUUUUUUGGUAAAUUUGUUCAAUGGAAAUUAAAAUUUGGUAAGAUUAGGCCUUUGGUUUUUUUUUGUUUAUUGACAAUAUUUAUUUUUUUCUCUGCUCUUAUUUUAUUUCUAAUAUAUGAUUUGAUUUGUUUUUCCUUUCAAACAGUUUCCUCUUUGAUAUAUGGUUCCGAUGGACUAGAUGGUUCUGGUGAUGAAGACACGUAACGUCGGGAAAGAUGAGGAGGGGAUACUUGGAAUCUAGAUGAUGGCAUUGAGAUCGCAGAGGCAACAGAUGAACGACGAGAGGCCACAUUGAAAGAGAAACGUCUCAUCGCUGGUCGUAAUUUCAUCCAUGUCUUCA